rnacentral:rRNA from 1 species
UACGGGGGGGGGCAAGCGUUGUUCGGAAUUACUGGGCGUAAAGGGCUCGUAGGUGGCCAACUAAGUCAGACGUGAAAUCCCCAGGCUUAACCUGGGAACUGCGUCUGAUACUGGAUGGCUUGAAUUCGGGAGAGGGAUGCAGAAUUCCAGGUGUAGCGGUGAAAUGCGUAGAUAUCUGGAGGAAUACCGGUGGCGAAGGCGGCAUCCUGGACCGAGAUUGACACUGAUGAGCGAAAGCCAGGGGAGCAAACGGG